rnacentral:rRNA from 1 species
GACGACGCUGGCGGCGUGCUUAACACAUGCAAGUCGAACGGAGUUCCUUGGAUAGAGGCUUCGGCCAAUUGAAUUGGAACUUAGUGGCGGACUGGUGAGUAACGCGUGAGGAACCUGCCUUUCAGAGGGGGACAACAGUUGGAAACGACUGCUAAUACCGCAUAACACAUGAUCGGGGCAUCCCGGACAUGUCAAAGAUUUUAUCGCUGAAAGAUGGCCUCGCGUCUGAUUAGCUAGUUGGUGGGGUAACGGCCUACCAAGGCGACGAUCAGUAGCCGGACUGAGAGGUUGACCGGCCACAUUGGGACUGAGAUACGGCCCAGACUCCUACGGGAGGCAGCAGUGGGGAAUAUUGGGCAAUGGACGCAAGUCUGACCCAGCAACGCCGCGUGAAGGAAGAAGGCUUUCGGGUUGUAAACUUCUUUUAUCAGGGAAGAGUAGAAGACGGUACCUGAUGAAUAAGCCACGGCUAACUACGUG